ACAUUACUGAAGAGUCCUAAACUAGGACGAAACAGUCGUCCUGUAU
rnacentral:hammerhead_ribozyme from 1 species